rnacentral:rRNA from 1 species
CAGUCGCCACGGGAAUACGUAGGGUGCAAGCGUUAAUCGGAAUUACUGGGCGUAAAGCGUGCGCAGGCGGUUUGUUAAGACAGAUGUGAAAUCCCCGGGCUCAACCUGGGAACUGCAUUUGUGACUGGCAAGCUAGAGUCUGGCAGAGGGGGGUGGAAUUCCGCGUGUAGCAGUGAAAUGCGUAGAUAUGCGGAGGAACACCGAUGGCGAAGGCAGCCCCCUGGGCCAACACUGACGCUCAUGCACGAAAGCGUGGGGAGCAAACAGGAUUAGAUACCCCUGUAGUCCCUGUCUCUUAUAC